rnacentral:rRNA from 1 species
CCUACGGGAGGCAGCAGUAGGGAAUAUUGCUCAAUGGGCGAAAGCCUGAUGCAGCAACGCCGCGUGGAGGAUGAAGGCUUUCGGAUUGUAAAGUACUUUUGUUAGAGAAGAUGGUGGCGGUGUUUAAAGAUUAAGCCAUGGAUAACUCCGUGACAGCAGCCGCGGUAAUACGGAGGGUACAAGCGUUACUCGGUAUUACUGGGCGUAAAGAGCACGUAGGCGGUUUGGCAAGUCAGAUGUGAAAUCCUAUGGCUAAACCAGAGAACUGCAUUUGAAACUGUGAUGCUGGAGUAUAGGAGAGGUAGGUAGAAUUCUAGGUGUAGGGGUGAAAUCCGUAGAGAUCUAGAGGAAUACUCAUUGCGAAGGCGGCCUGCUAGAACAAGACUGACGCUGAGGCGCGAAAGCGUGGGGAGCAAACAGGAUUAGAUACCCCAGUAGUC